AGCGCGGCACCUCGACCGGAAUCUCCUAGGUGAAGGAGGACCUUCUAGUGGAAGUGAAGGGAAGAGCCAGCAGCCGAGUGGGGGAGUCUUCUCUAGAGCGACCAGUUGGAGGGGGGUAGUGGUUGGUUGGGGUAAGCGCCGGCCGAGGAGCGAGGUGGGGUGGGGAUGCCGGGAUGGAGUGGCCGCGGAGAGGGCCGACUGGAGAGAGGAGGCAGCAGCAGCGCGGCAGCCUCCGGGAGCACUCCGAACCUAACCUAGACUCGGCGGCGAGGCGAGUCGCAAGUGGUACCUCAACCGCCAUCCGCGGAGCCUCCGGUGGUAGUUCAGGGACGACUGGUUCGAGCCCUCGGAAGACCGUCUCGUCAUGCGGAACCGGGCGCCGCAGGCGUCGCUGUAGGUCAAGUAGUUGCUGCUCGAGCGCUCGUACGUCCGGAAGGAGUCGUUGGAGCCGUUGUCGUGGCUGCUGGUGCUGCUGGUCUGGUUCCUGACCUACUUCGUCCAGGCGCUGCAGAGGAUGCUGUAACUCCUGACGCAGCUGCUGAAGUGGUUGCCGGAGGCUGGCCUAGGGGUCGCGCUGCUGACCGCAAGGUUCCGGGCGCCCAAGGAGAUGCUCUAGACCUGUAAUUCAGCGGCCUCUUCGUAUCGACGGGUCUAGCGCCUGGAGUUCGUCGCCCGCGUCGUACACCCGCUCGCGGCGCCGUCCAUACCGCAGGCGCUGGGCUUAGGGCCGUCGCCCUUCUCACCAAACCUACCCAUAUGGUGACGGCUCGUGGUCCUCUAUUGGGCAGCUGAAUAGCCGUAGGUCUCCGGUCAACCCCACCUGUAUCGUCUCGAGCUCUUCACCUAAUUUAGAGGUCUCUUCUUCGCCUCACAAUAUAGGUAUAUGCCUAAACCGCCGCACCCUUUUUGGUGCCGGCGGUACCGUGACAUGGCCUCGACGCCCCAAGUAAAGUGCACAGCCCGUUACCAGUGGCACAGUGUAGUGUGACUGGGACUACAUCAAGAGGCACUCUAUGACUCCGUUCAGUUCUACGUUCACUUCCUAGUCGUUCAGGUCUUAUCAUGGCAUUUGUGGAGCCUCUUCUUCUUAGGUCGUCGUCGCCGAGGGGGGGCCUACGAGUCGUCCGACUCGGUUAAGGCCGACAUAAUGGCGUUAGUUCUAUUCCUACCAUUUCGGAGCCCGUUCCUCGCGGUUGACUAUUAUCUACUAGAGAACUUUGUGGAGUCCUUUUUAUCCAUGAAUGACAAUUAACUGCUGCAGACCAGUAGUAGAUACACCGUCUGUUAGAACUUGACGAACGGUCUUUUACUACUUUUAUCGUCUUAUUAACACUGGUGUGCUAAACUUCGACAACGUUUCUGAAGUGUGAACCUGGUACUAGUGAAAGUAGUCUACCUAGGAGAAAGACACUUUAUACGGCUCGUGAACAAAUUGUGUUCAAACAGGCUCACGUCCCUACGAGUUUCGUCAUUCUGUUCGGUCUCGCUAGUUCAAGGUGGGUCUCAGACCUUCUACACACCACCGGACGGUAAUGGGUAUCAAUGGUACCGACCAGAGUACCGUAGGUUGUUCGAGUACUUCGCUCUCCUUACCUUAUUUCAAACGCUCCGAAACAAAGGUCUACUUGUUCAUACGGUAUUUGGUCUCCUUAAAUACUCCUAUUAGUUAAUGACGAUGUCACGAAACGGAUCACUAGAGUUCUGAACGAGAGACAUAAAAUCGUAGAAAGGUUUCCCAGCGUCAUAGUCGUUCUUCGCCGAUUAGUCCUCCACCUAUCGCCUUCCGAAACAGUCGCUCUUCGUUCCCGACUCGCACCUACUACAACGUCUCUGCACGAAAUUAGUCGAAUAAUUUUCCGUCUAUUAUGCCGGACAUGUCUUGUCGUGGCUACCGUUCCACUUCUCGACAGUUCAGGUACUGUACCAGGAACUCAUGUAAUAUUGGUUCCGUCGGCUUCUCUUAAAGCAAUGACACCAACCACCGGUCACCAGGUAUGGUUGAGCAUCGUCGUUUCAGGCGUCCUACAGCGAGGUGUCGUCACUGAGGUUUGUACGUUCCUUUCGUAUACCUUACUUGAACAGAGUACAGGCUAGUGACUGACACAAACCCUCGGAUCUCGUUGUCGCCAAAUUUAGUAAGUUCUGACCUUAUCACGUUCAUGAUCUGGAGCUUCCAACGUCGCCAAAGUUCCGUUUCGUACGGUCACAGAGCCUGUAGACAUUUUACUGAGAAGAGUUCAUGGACUCGGAGGCUCCUUGUCUGUAGUCGCAUGAUGGUGGCUUGUAGCCCCCAGAGUUCAUAAACCUUUGUGACCUGUAUUCCGUCUGCCUUCAACUUCUUGACGGAUUUUGACAUCAAGACGACCUUGCUUAGUCGUUAUAUGAACCUCCUCUAUUCUCUUGUGCCUUUCGGAACUUCAACGGAUUUCUCUACUUCUUCCCUCGUUACUUUUGGGACGCGCAUGACAGACCCUAACUCUAGUGACUCCUUAGCUGACGGCAUAGUUUGGAGGUACUUGAUUGACCCGACUUCUUCAACCGGUAAAUGUUCGAAGUGUUCAGACUGGUACUACUAAACGAGAGGAGAUAGGUCAUGGAACCGCCAAUAAGAGAAUUUUGAGAACACUAACUACUACUCAGUAGACUCAAGGUACUAUUUGACCCGUUUUACAGCUGCGGAGGUCAUAUGGACUUACGAGAUCUCGACAGGCCGUUCAACACAUUGAAGGGUAGUACCUAGUGAUUUGAGUCCCUGUAACAGUUCAAUUGGGAAAGUCGUUGUGAAGACCCUGGUCUUUUAGACCUCACGGAAUCCCUGAACUUCUGUAAUAAAAGAGAGUGGAAAAGUCAUGUACGUUGUUUUGUGCUAGGACUAUAACGUCGGUAAGAAGUGUUCUUGUUUAGACUAAUACCGCCACUCUAGAAAAAAGGUGGACCUCCCAAACGAUUAGAGUUCAACAAGGCGUAGAAGUGUGGGUAAGAGGGUAGUGACUUGAAGAGUCUUCCCCGCUACGGCCCCGAGCUUUCCGAACGUAACACAAAGUUUAACAACCUUCCAGAAGUACCGCACCUCUUUGAAUUUUCAGAGGUACUGCACUAGAACUGUCAACUACCUCUUCGUCCAUCGUGCUGGGUCAGCUAUUAUUUACUAGACUUUCUUCGUUUUCUCUGUCGUUUUUCAUUGAUACAGGAUCUGUAGUUCCUCUUAUCACACUACUUGACUUCGUAGCUGCACGAUACCACAAAGAAGACAGAAUGACUUAGUAGGCUGGAACGACAUAGUAGUCCGCAGUCACUUCUACAACGGAAAUACGUAACGUAUGAGUCAAUGUAAAACCACCCACACACACAACGGGAAAAAAACGGUUACAAAAGCAUGAGGGACAACCUCAACUAAGAGGCUCAGGAGAAGAGAAAACCGACGAUGUAUGUAGAGGGAAAAGAGUGAGAACUAAACAUAGUCACAGUGUGUGUGUGCGUG
rnacentral:rRNA from 1 species